UCCGAAUUGGUCUAUCGGCUAGGAUUGCCCGCUUUCAAAGUUUGUAGUAAAACUUGAUAUCCGGGCCGGGCCGGGUUCGACUCCCGGAUUCGGAA